rnacentral:rRNA from 1 species
UACACUCCUGCGGGAGGCAGCAGUGGGGAAUAUUGGACAAUGGGCGCAAGCCUGAUCCAGCCAUGCCGCGUGAGUGAUGAAGGCCCUAGGGUUGUAAAGCUCUUUCACCGGUGAAGAUAAUGACGGUAACCGGAGAAGAAGCCCCGGCUAACUUCGUGCCAGCAGCCGCGGUCAUACGAAGGGGGCUAGCGUUGUUCGGAUUUACUGGGCGUAAAGCGCACGUAGGCGGACUAUUAAGUCAGGGGUGAAAUCCCGGGGCUCAACCCCGGAACUGCCUUUGAUACUGGUAGUCUUGAGGUCGAGAGAGGUGAGUGGAAUUCCGAGUGUAGAGGUGAAAUUCGUAGAUAUUCGGAGGAACACCAGUGGCGAAGGCGGCUCACUGGCUCGAUACUGACGCUGAGGUGCGAAAGCGUGGGGUGCAAACAGGAUUAGAAACCCCUGUAGUCCCAUGA